AUACUUACAUGGCAGGAGAGACACCGUGAUAUUGCAGGUGGUUUUCCCAGGACAAGGCUUAUCCAUAGCACUCUGAAUGUGCUGACUGCUGUGAUUUCCCCAAAUGGGGGAAACUUGACUGCAUAAUUUGUGUGUGUGUGUGUGGGGGGGGUUGUUUACACC